rnacentral:misc_RNA from 1 species
GAAAUGCGAUAAGUAAUGUGAAUUGCAGAAUUCAGUGAAUCAUCGAAUCUUUGAACGCACAUUGCGCCCGCCAGCACUCUGGCGGGCAUGCCUGUUCGAGCGUCAUUUCAACCCUCAGAACCCCUUGCGGGAUCUGGCGUUGGGGAUUGGCAACCAGCCAGCCCCGAAAUCUAGUGGCGGUCCCUCCGCGACCUCCCCUGUGCAGUAGCGAUACCUCGCAGCGGGACAGCGGUCUGACCACGCCGUAAAACCCCCAACUUCUCAAGGUUGACCUCGAAUCAGGUAGGAAUACCCGCUGAACUUAAGC